UUAACCCUAAACUGUCAGCUGAAAAUCGACAUGCUCUCCCUGGCUGUAAUUUCUGCUGCCAAGAAGAAUGGGAAGUGCGAAUAAGUUACCGGAGGAUGGCAUACAAAAAUAUUGCCCUCCAAGUAGGCUAAGACCUAUGUAGCCAAUUAACUACUUAGGAUAUGUAAUGCCCAGUGGGAGAGGAGGAUAAUGGCAUGAGCUGGCGUAGUAGUGCUUCCAGAGAGACAGAACUACAAAUACCUUGGAAUAUACCCAACUUCUCACCAAAAGGAGCUGUCAGUGGCUUCCCCGUGAAAUGGAAGAGUUGCCAGAGCUACUCACUGACCAAGCACCUACUAAAUCCAUCGCUGGUCCAUCCCAAGGCCAACCUUUUGAAAGCCGUGCAGUGCAGAAUGCAGUCAGUAGCAGCACCAGGGACGGAGUCAGGAGGUUCACUUCAUUCACUCCCGCCUUCAGGGAGUGACCCCUAGUGUGCAUGCCUGUUGCUCCAUUUCUUUCUGAGUAAUGAACACCAGGAACUGAAGACAGCAUACUUAACUACGGCUACAAAUUUUGUCCUACUCUGUGGUCAGGAAAGUUCUCCCAGGCAGAAAUUAAUGUCUAUUGUUCAAUUUACUUCCUGUAUCCCCAUAAACCUGCUCUCUUUCAUUCACAAUAAAAAUUGCUUCAUCUGGUU